UUGUUUCUGCCGCCGGGUAGAAGUGGAAGGUCAGAACCUGUAUCGUUAGGCCAUAGAAGAUACAGGGACUGGCGUUUUUUUGUU
rnacentral:ncRNA from 1 species